CCUACGGGAGGCAGCAGUGAGGAAUAUUGGUCAAUGGACGAGAGUCUGAACCAGCCAAGUAGCGUGAAGGAUGACUGCCCUAUGGGUUGUAAACUUCUUUUAUAUGGGAAUAAAAUGUUCCACGUGUGGGAUUUUGUAUGUAACAUAUGAAUAAGGAUCGGCUAACUCCGGGCCAGCAGCCGCGGUAAUACGGAGGAUCCGAGCGUUAUCCGGAUUUAUUGGGUUUAAAGGGAGCGUAGGUGGAUUGUUAAGUCAGUUGUGAAAGUUUGCGGCUCAACCGUAAAAUUGCAGUUGAAACUGGCAGUCUUGAGUACAGUAGAGGUGGGCGGAAUUCGUGGUGUAGCGGUGAAAUGCUUAGAUAUCACGAAGAACUCCGAUUGCGAAGGCAGUUCACUGGACUGCAACUGACACUGAGGCUCGAAAGUGUGGGUAUCAAACAGGAUUAGAUACCCCUGUAGUC
rnacentral:rRNA from 1 species